CUACAAUAUACUUCUUACAUAUUGGUCAAGACUUGUAUUGAAUAGCUCACACCUGAUUGGUGUUCCUGGACUAUAGAGUGGAUUUUUCACUACAUAUUCAACAUACAAGUUGUAGAUGUAUUUCAAUGAGUCCCUUAGAUCACCGGUUCUAGGAUGGGUAACCAGGAUAAUCUUUAUCCCUGAUGGAGUUUCAGUAAAACUGAGCUUGUAGGUAUUAGUACGAAAGCUGUGAAACGAACAACCUUGGCCAGG
rnacentral:misc_RNA from 1 species